UAACGUAACCUGUUAUAUUCGGUUACAUUGCUGUUACACUGCUACUAUAUUACUGUGUUCACUGGGUUGUCUUUACUUUAAUUCUCAAUAUUGCGUCAAUGUUUUUUGCUACUAGAAUAAAUGUUUAUUAAAUAUAAUUGAAACAUUACAAUAAUUGUUGUAAAUCCUUUUUAAUUUAUAAAUUAAAUAUCUAUUUAUAUAUAGAUGGAUAUUGCUAAAAUAGGAGCAAUAAGAGAUUUUCUCACAAUAGCUACAUCUCAAUUAUUUUUUGAAGAGUCUUCAUCUUCUGAUGAAUACGAGGAUGUUAUGCCAUUAUUUAUUCUACGAAAUGAAGUACACAUGCAACGAGUACAAAGAAGACUAAACAUUAAUGAUAGACGUCCAACUGUUUCAACAGAUAAAGCUUUAUUGUUGACAUUAUAGAUUCUUGCUAAUCAAGAUUCAUUUCGAGAGGCUGGGAAUAUAUUUGAUAUUUCAAAAGGAAACAGCCAUUAAAUUUUCAUGAAUAUUAUUCACAUAAUUGUAGAAUUAGCUGAGGUUUAUUUAAAAUGGCCAUCUAUAAAGCAAUUAAAUAUUAUAAAAGAAGAAUUUAACAAUAUUAGAGGAAAUAAUUCAUUUUCUAAUGUAAUUGGAGUACUUGAUGCAAAACACAUUGCUAUUCCAGCCCCGAAAGAAGAUCGGCAAAGUUACAUUAAUCGAAAAGCAUUCUAUUCAGUUAAUUUACAAGCUAUAUGUGACAGUAAUGCAAUUUUUUUAGAUGUUUUUGCCGGUUGGCCUGGUUCGUCUCAUGACAGCCGCGUUUGGCGUAACAGUCCAAUUUCUGAUUUUUUGGAACAACCAAAUGUGAUACCAAAUAAUACAUGCAUAUUAUAGCGGACUCAGCAUAUCCCUUAAAAUUAUAUCUAAUGUGCCCUUUUCGAGAUAAUCAUCACUUAACCCAAGCACAGAAAAAUUUUAAUACUAAACUUUCUGUAAAACGAUCAGUGAUAGAACGUGCGUUUGGAUUACUAACAGCACGUUUUCGAAGAUUGAAAUUUUUGAAUAUGAGCAACUUGCAAGAAAUCCCUAAUGUUAUCAUAGCUUGUUGUGUUUUACACAACAUUUGCAUAAAGUAUAAUGAUUUAUGGGAAAAUUAUGAGUACUUCGAUAUGGCUGUCGAUGAUGAUGAGUAUUUCUUUGAUGACCCAGAUGAUACCACUGAAGCUCAUGAGAAACGAAAUGUUAUUUUACAUUCCCUAAUGUGAUAACUGCACAUGUAAAUUUAUUUGAAUAAUUACCCAGUCGAAAAUGCAAAUUGAAUCGACGUCUAAUCAACGUCGAUUCGACUUGCCAUUUCUGCUUGGGUAGGUAUUUAUUUUACUUACCUUUUUUAUAUAAAAAAUAAAGAUGUUUCAAUAAUUAUAAGCGUUUAUUAAUAAAUAAAAUGUUGGAAUAUGUAUUUUUAUUUUGUUUAUUUUUCUGUAUUUGUUUAUUUUGUAUAGAAUUUUUAGUAUAAUAAAACAUUUAUUAUAUUACAUUUAAUGUUUUGAUACAAAAUUCUUUCUAUAAAUAGUAAUUCUGAUAUACUUAACAUAUUUUAUUAUUCGUUGUAAUAUAAAAUUAAUUAUUAUUGCAUAUAUAAAAAUUGCAUUAACAUGUAUGUAUAUGGUAUCGCCAAUAACCAUAUUUAAGACAAAAAAAAAUAUAUAUUUUAUUACAAACAAUAAACGAAGUUUUUAUUAUAAAUACAAAAAUAUAAUAAAAAGUAACGACUAUUAAUACAAGUAUUAAUAUUUUGUAUUACUGCAUUCACCUGUCUUAUUGUCUGUUAUAAUCUGUUAUACUCAACAAAUACAGAGUAAUCUCAUAAAUAGACAUCCUGCAGUUAAGUAUUACUGAAUCUGUUAAAGUUGGUUUUAACAAAAUAUCUUACUGUAGUUAAAACAAAAAUUUUCUCGUGUUUUUUUUAUAAUAUAUAUAUCAACCGUUAAUGCUUGCAUGACUGUUUUAAUGCGUUUUUAU